AAUUCGGUGGUGUAGUGGGUAGCAAGCGUUCCCGGAAUGGACGAAGCGCGAGUUCAACCCUCGCCUGAGGUCG